rnacentral:rRNA from 1 species
AACGAACGCUGGCGGCAUGCCUAACACAUGCAAGUCGAACGAGACCUUCGGGUCUAGUGGCGCACGGGUGCGUAACGCGUGGGAACCUGCCCUUAGGUUCGGAAUAACUCCCCGAAAGGGGUGCUAAUACCGGAUAAUGUCUUCGGACCAAAGAUUUGUCGCCUUUGGAUGGGCCCGCGUUGGAUUAGCUAGUUGGUAGGGUAAAAGCCUACCAAGGCGACGAUCCAUAGCUGGUCUGAGAGGAUGAUCAGCCACACUGGGACUGAGACACGGCCCAGACUCCUACGGGAGGCAGCAGUGGGGAAUAUUGGACAAUGGGCGAAAGCCUGGUCCAGCAAUGACGCGUGAGUGAUGAAGGCCUUAGGGUUGUAAAGCUCUUUUACCCGGGAUGAUAAUGACAGUACCGGGAGAAUAAGCUCCGGCUAACUCCGUG